UUCCAGACUCCUACGGGAGGCAGCAGUGGGGAAUAUUGCACAAUGGGGGAAACCCUGAUGCAGCGACGCCGCGUGAGUGAAGAAAUAUUUCGGUAUGUAAAGCUCUAUCAGCAGGGAAGAUAAUGACGGUACCUGACUAAGAAGCCCCGGCUAACUACGUGCCAGCAGCCGCGGUAAUACGUAGGGGGCAAGCGUUAUCCGGAUUUACUGGGUGUAAAGGGUGCGUAGGUGGCAUGGCAAGUCAGAAGUGAAAGCCCGGGGCUCAACCCCGCGGACUGCUUUUGAAACUGUCAGGCUGGAGUACAGGAGAGGUAAGCGGAAUUCCUAGUGUAGCGGUGAAAUGCGUAGAUAUUAGGAGGAACACCAGUGGCGAAGGCGGCUUACUGGACUGUAACUGACACUGAGGCACGAAAGCGUGGGGAGCAAACAGGAUUAGAUACCCUUGUAC
rnacentral:rRNA from 1 species